rnacentral:rRNA from 1 species
AUUGAACGCUGGCGGCAGGCUUAACACAUGCAAGUCGAACGAGAACGGAAUAUAGCUUGCUAUAUUUGUCAGCUAAGUGGCGCACGGGUGAGUAAUGUAUAGAUAACCUGCCCUUAAGAAAGGAAUAACAGUUGGAAACGACUGCUAAUGCCCUAUAUGCCUUUAAUACAUAAGUAUGCAAGGGAAACGCUUUAGUGCUUAAGGAUGGGUCUGUAUGGUAUCAGCUUGUUGGUGAGGUAAUGGCUCACCAAGGCUAUGACGCCUAACUGGUUUGAGAGGAUGAUCAGUCACACUGGAACUGAGACACGGUCCAGACUCCUACGGGAGGCAGCAGUGGGGAAUAUUGCACAAUGGACGAAAGUCUGAUGCAGCAACGCCGCGUGGAGGAUGACACAUUUCGGUGCGUAAACUCCUUUUAUAUAGGAAGAUAAUGACGGUACUAUAUGAAUAAGCACCGGCUAACUCCGUGCCAGCAGCCGCAGUAA